rnacentral:rRNA from 1 species
AGAGUUUGAUCCUGGCUCAGAUUGAACGCUGGCGGCAUGCUUUACACAUGCAAGUCGAACGGUAACAGGGUGCUUGCACCGCUGACGAGUGGCGAACGGGUGAGUAAUGCAUCGGAAUGUACCGUGUAAUGGGGGAUAGCUCGGCGAAAGCCGGAUUAAUACCGCAUACGCCCUGAGGGGGAAAGUGGGGGACCGAAAGGCCUCACGUUAUACGAGCAGCCGAUGUCUGAUUAGCUAGUUGGUGAGGUAAGAGCUCACCAAGGCGUCGAUCAGUAGCGGGUCUGAGAGGAUGAUCCGCCACACUGGGACUGAGACACGGCCCAGACUCCUACGGGAGGCAGCAGUGGGGAAUUUUGGACAAUGGGCGCAAGCCUGAUCCAGCCAUGCCGCGUGUCUGAAGAAGGCCUUCGGGUUGUAAAGGACUUUUGUCCGGGAGCAAAUCCUAGUGGUUAAUAACCGCUGGGUCUGAGAGUACCGGAAGAAUAGGGAGCAAAUCCUAGUGGUUAAUAACCGC